GACGAACGCUGGCGGCGUGCCUAAUACAUGCAAGUAGAACGCUGAAGAGAGGAGCUUGCUCUUCUUGGAUGAGUUGCGAACGGGUGAGUAACGCGUAGGUAACCUGCCUUGUAGCGGGGGAUAACUAUUGGAAACGAUAGCUAAUACCGCAUAACAAUGGAUGACACAUGUCAUUUAUUUGAAAGGGGCAAUUGCUCCACUACAAGAUGGACCUGCGUUGUAUUAGCUAGUAGGUGAGGUAAUGGGUCACCUAGGCGACGAUACAUAGCCGACCUGAGAGGGUGAUCGGCCACGCUGGGACUGGGACACGGCCCAGAAUCCUGCGGGAGGCAGCAGGAGGGAAUCUUCGGGAAUGGGGGCAACCCUGACCGAGGAACGCCGGGCGAGUGAAGAAGGUUGUCGGGUCGUAAAGGUCUGUUGUAAGUCAAGAACGGGUGUGAGAGUGGAAAGUUCACACUGUGACGGUAGCUUACCAGAAAGCGACGGCUAACUACGUG
rnacentral:rRNA from 1 species